UUCAGCGGCGGACGGGUGAGUAAUGCCUAGGAAUCUGCCCGAUAGUGGGGGACAACGUUUCGAAAGGAGCGCUAAUACCGCAUACGUCCUACGGGAGAAAGUGGGGGAUCUUCGGACCUCACGCUAUCGGAUGAGCCUAGGUCGGAUUAGCUAGUUGGUGAGGUAAUGGCUCACCAAGGCGACGAUCCGUAACUGGUCUGAGAGGAUGAUCAGUCACACUGGAACUGAGACACGGUCCAGACUCCUACGGGAGGCAGCAGUGGGGAAUAUUGGACAAUGGGCGAAAGCCUGAUCCAGCCAUGCCGCGUGUGUAAAGAAGGUCUUCGGAUUGUAAAGCACUUUAAGUUGGGAGGAAGGGCUGUCGGCUAAUACCCUGCAGUUUUGACGUUACCAACAGAAUAAGCACCGGCUAACUUCGUGCCAGCAGCCGCGGUAAUACGAAGGGUGCAAGCGUUAAUCGGAAUUACUGGGCGUAAAGCGCGCGUAGGUGGUUCAGCAAGUUGGAUGUGAAAGCCCCGGGCUCAACCUGGGAACUGCAUCCAAAACUACUGAGCUAGAGUACGGUAGAGGGUGGUGGAAUUUCCUGUGUAGCGGUGAAAUGCGUAGAUAUAGGAAGGAACACCAGUGGCGAAGGCGACCACCUGGACUGAUACUGACACUGAGGUGCGAAAGCGUGGGGAGCAAACAGGAUUAGAUACCCUGGUAGUCCACGCCGUAAACGAUGUCAACUAGCUGUUGGGUUCCUUGAGAACUUAGUAGCGAAGCUAACGCGAUAAGUUGACCGCCUGGGGAGUACGGCCGCAAGGUUAAAACUCAAAUGAAUUGACGGGGGCCCGCACAAGCGGUGGAGCAUGUGGUUUAAUUCGA
rnacentral:rRNA from 1 species